CCUACGGGCGGCAGCAGUGAGGAAUAUUGGUCAAUGGACGAGAGUCUGAACCAGCCAAGUAGCGUGAAGGAUGACUGCCCUAUGGGUUGUAAACUUCUUUUAUAUGGGAAUAAAACGUUCCACGUGUGGGAUUUUGUAUGUACCAUAUGAAUAAGGAUCGGCUAACUCCGUGCCAGCAGCCGCGGUAAUACGGAGGAUCCGAGCGUUAUCCGGAUUUAUUGGGUUUAAAGGGAGCGUAGGUGGAUUGUUAAGUCAGUUGUGAAAGUUUGCGGCUCAACCGUAAAAUUGCAGUUGAAACUGGCAGUCUUGAGUACAGUAGAGGUGGGCGGAAUUCGUGGUGUAGCGGUGAAAUGCUUAGAUAGCACGAAGAACUCCGAUUGCGAAGGCAGUUCACUGGACUGCAACUGACACUGAGGCUCGAAAGUGUGGGUAUCAAACAGGAUUAGAUACCCGAGUAGUC
rnacentral:rRNA from 1 species